rnacentral:ribozyme from 1 species
GAAGUGGUCCGGCGUCUGGCCUUUUCGCGGCCCAGGGGAUAAGUACGCACACUGUGCGGAAACUAACAGACGC